rnacentral:rRNA from 1 species
GAUGAACGCUGGCGGUGUGCCUAAUACAUGCAAGUCGAGCGAACAGACGAGGAGCUUGCUCCUCUGACGUUAGCGGCGGACGGGUGAGUAACACGUGGAUAACCUACCUAUAAGACUGGGAUAACUUCGGGAAACCGGAGCUAAUACCGGAUAAUAUAUUGAACCGCAUGGUUCAAUAGUGAAAGACGGUUUUGCUGUCACUUAUAGAUGGAUCCGCGCCGCAUUAGCUAGUUGGUAAGGUAACGGCUUACCAAGGCAACGAUGCGUAGCCGACCUGAGAGGGUGAUCAGCCACACUGGAACUGAGACACGGUCCAGACUCCUACGGGAGGCAGCAGUAGGGAAUCUUCCGCAAUGGGCGAAAGCCUGACGGAGCAACGCCGCGUGAGUGAUGAAGGUCUUCGGAUCGUAAAACUCUGUUAUUAGGGAAGAACAAAUGUGUAAGUAACUACGCACGUCUUGACGGUACCUAAUCAGAAAGCCACGGCUAACUACGUG